rnacentral:tRNA from 1 species
GUCCAGGUGGUGUAAUGGUAGCCACGCCAGUUUGAGGGACUGGUGGCCGAAAGGUCGUGCGGGUUCGACUCCCGCCUUGGACA